CCCUAGCCAUGUGGAACUGUAAGUCCAAUUAAACCUCUUUUUGUUUCCAGUUUCAGGUAUGUCUUUGUCAGCAGCAUGAAAAUGAACUAAUACAUCUGAGUAGUACCAGAAAUCUCAAGGCAUGAAUUUAGUUUGGAAUAGUCCCGGACUAGCACAUCUUUAGUUACCUGGCAAAGACACUAAGUCCUUUCUGGUGGACUAUCACUUCAUCCUAGGCCUCAAAGAUGUCCUAUAAAUAAUUUUCCAAGGGAAAUGAGUGUGAUAGAUUGCAACAAUGGCCCCAAGUCUUUUCUCCUCUUCAGAGCCAUGCCUUUCACCAUAUAACUUUGCAGUGCACUCCUACUCCUCCCCUUGACAUUGGCCUUAAUCAUGUGAUUUGCCUUUGCGAAGGGAGUUUUUUAGAUAAGACACAAGCAGAGGCUUGAAAUGGGCUCCUUAGAAUUUGCUUUUUGCACCUUUGCCAAAGCCAUGAGAAUACGCCCGGGCGAUCUUGCCACCAGGUCUGAAAAAAAUUAAGGUAGACCUAAAUGAAUCUUUGUAACUGGACAAAAAAGACUUCCAAGAGUCUUAAGGGACAUUUGUCCCACAGUUAACUUGACAUGCUCAAAGUAAUAAUGAUUAAGUCUAAAGACAGAGGCUUGUCUCAAGAAAACACUAGAGGUGUGUUUUUUGGUAAGUGGAGGGAUUUGGAAUUGAAAACACAAAAAUCCCACAGAGUUUUUGAGAGACUUGUAUUGACAAAAGCACUGUUGGCCUGGACUGAAACUGUACAAAAUGAUGAGGGCAGGGAAAGGCUUACGGGCCCUCAACUUUCUUUGGGAAAGAAGUAGGGUGAGAAAGUUGCCAAAAGCUAUUUUCCAAAGUUCUCCAUAGAAAUGGCCAAGGAGAAUGAAGGAAAAGGAGAGACAUCUCAGAGCGAGAGCCAAGAAGCAUGGAGACUCAAGGGCCUCAGGAAGCCAAACCAGAGCCUAAUCAAGGAGCAUUCUCCACCGCAGAGUAGGGAACAUUUGCCAAGCAGGGUUUCAGAAUUAUUACGGACCAGGGACUGUUGUAUACCUCCUGUUCUUUCCCAUUUUUUGAAUGGGAGUCUUUGUUGUAAUUACCCUGUACCUGUUCAACAAUUGUUGGGUGGGUAGGGGACAGAUAACGUUGUUAGCUCAUGGGACUCCAGAUUCAGAGGAGCUGCAUCUGAUCUGGAUCUGAUGUAGAUCAUAAGAUCUUGGACUUUGAGCCUGUGGCUGUGACUGGAUAAGACUUUUUUUUUUGUUUUUUUGAGACAGAGUCUCACUGUCACCCAGGCUGGAGUGCGGUGGUGCAGUCUCGGCUCACUGAAACAUCCACCUCCCAGGUUCAAGCGAUUUUCCUGCCUCAGCCUCCUGAGUAGCUGGGAUUACAGGCAUGGACCACCACGCCUGGCUAAUUUUUGUAUUUUUAGUAGAGACAGGGUUUCACCAUGUUGGCCAGGCUUGUCUCGAACUCCUGACCUUAGGUGAUCCACCCGCCUCGGCCUCCCAAAGUGCUGGGACUACAGGCAUGAGCCACCAGCCCUGGAUAAGACUUUAAGGGGUCUGGAAUGGGUAUGAGCAUAUUUUUCACUGAAAGGAACAUGAAUAAUUUUGAUUAUGAGGGCAGCCUCUGGCAGAUUGAAGAAAUAGUCCUAAUUUUUUUACUUCUCUCUGUAUCUAUACUUUUUGCCAAGUAAUUUUAUGAUGCCUUCCCACCAUAAGAAGAGAGAACUGCCUCAUUCGUCAAAAGAAGUCUGACCAUGAGAUGUACUUUGGCCAACAUCCUGGCGAGAUGUACUUUGGCCAGCAUGUUGACAGGCAUGAAAAAAGCAGAGGCUUAAAAUUGACUUGCUUUCUUGUGCCUCAGCCAUUAUUGUGAGAAAAUGCCCAGACUCACCUGAUAGUCCCAGGAAUGAGAUUAUGAGAAACAAAUGGAGCAGAGUCCCACGCAGCCAAGAAACCACCCCCUUUUUGUUAACACAGAUGUUUUUUCAAGUUGUUAAAUGUGAAGUAAGUUCUUUAAAAAGACUACUCUCCAAACAUGAGAAACGGAGGCCUCCUAAGUACCUAAAGCUCUGUGUCUCACCCAGGAAGAGAAAACCUCCUCCCAUGUUGGGCAAUACCCAAAGUGGUAGAAGAUAUUUGACAUCAAGAGACUAUGAUAUGGUAUUAAAGACAUUAAAAUCUGCAAAGGAACCCACACUGUAA
rnacentral:lncRNA from 1 species